rnacentral:lncRNA from 1 species
GUUAGUAUAGACUAUAGAGGCACUUAAAGUCAUAUGGUUAAUUUGUAAUUUGAACUUAUGAAGCAUUGUGUCUGAAUAUAAAUUUUGUGGAACAGGCAAUUAGUGCUCACAGAUUAUUCAUAUUAGAUUACCAUGAUGCAUUCUUCCCGUAUUUGACGAAGAUAAACAGCCUACCUAUUGCAAAAGCUUAUGCCACAAGGACAAUCCUGUUCUUGAAAGACGAUGGAUCUUUAAAGCCACUUGCUAUCGAAUUAAGCAAGCCUGCAACAGUGAGUAAAGUGGUGUUGCCUGCAACAGAAGGUGUUGAGAGUACAAUUUGGUUGUUGGCCAAGGCUCAUGUCAUUGUGAAUGACUCUGGUUAUCAUCAGCUCAUAAGCCAUUGGUAAGAACUUCCUUAGCAAUACUUAGUCCAUGUAAACUGUAUAGCGUAUGUGCAUAUGAAAUUAUUAUUGAUCAUUUCUUUUUUUGUCGGGGUUAUAGGUUAAAUACUCAUGCAGUGAUGGAGCCAUUUGCCAUAGCAACAAACAGGCAUCUCAGUGUGCUUCACCCCAUUUAUAAACUUCUUUAUCCUCACUACAAGGACACAAUAAAUAUCAAUGGCCUUGCUAGGCAGUCCCUGAUUAACGCAGGUGGCAUUAUUGAGCAAACAUUUUUGCCUGGAAAGUACUCCAUUGAAAUGUCAUCAGUUGUUUACAAGAAUUGGGUUUUCACUGACCAAGCAUUACCAGCUGAUCUUGUCAAGAGGUAAUCAUCAUUAAAUAUACUACUUCACCUGCAAAAAGAAUAUAUAAAAUUUUGAGUUAUUGAUAAGGCAUUUAAAUGGGGUUUAACUUUUAUGUAUGGUUAAUCUAAAAUAAUUUGUCCUGUCAAUCAAUCAGAAAUCAAAUCACGUAUGACUUCUAAAGUAGUUAUUGUCAAAAUUAAUGAACUUACCAUAUACCAGUAUAUCAAUUGGUGAUUUGGUGACCUGUGGUCCAUGGACUAUUUAUUCUUCAAGACAUUAUGGAUUGAAAUGUUUUUUUUUUUUAAUUGCAACAUGAACAAUUCUAGUUAUGGGACAACAAAAACAAUAAUUUCCAUUUAUAUUGGAAAAAAUUCAGAGAGGUUUGUUGAAUUUGUCAUUAACAUUUUUCUUUUUUUGUUUUGGCUUGAUUAAGAGGAUUGGCAGUUGAGGAUCCCUCUGCCCCACAUGGUCUUCGCCUUGUGAUAGAGGACUACCCUUAUGCUGUUGAUGGACUUGAAAUAUGGGAUGCUAUUAAGACAUGGGUCCAUGAGUAUGUCUCUGUGUAUUACCCAACAAAUGCAGCAAUUCAACAAGACACUGAACUUCAAGCAUGGUGGAAGGAAGUUGUGGAGAAGGGUCAUGGUGACUUAAAAGAUAAGCCUUGGUGGCCUAAACUGCAGACUGUGGAGGAUCUCAUUCAAUCCUGCUCUAUUAUCAUAUGGACAGCUUCGGCUCUCCAUGCAGCUGUUAAUUUUGGGCAAUACCCUUAUGGAGGUUAUAUCGUGAACCGUCCAACUCUAGCCAGAAGGUUUAUCCCAGAAGAAGGAACCAAAGAAUAUGAUGAGAUGGUGAAGGAUCCUCAAAAGGCAUAUCUGAGAACAAUCACACCCAAGUUCGAGACCCUUAUUGACAUUUCAGUGAUAGAGAUAUUGUCAAGGCAUGCUUCUGAUGAGGUCUACCUUGGCCAAAGGGAUAAUCCAAAUUGGACUACGGAUUCAAAGGCAUUGGAAGCUUUCAAAAAGUUUGGAAACAAACUGGCAGAAAUUGAGGGAAAAAUCACACAGAGGAACAAUGAUCCAAGUCUGAAAAGCCGACAUGGGCCAGUUCAGCUUCCAUACACAUUGCUCCAUCGUUCAAGUGAGGAAGGGAUGAGUUUCAAAGGAAUUCCCAACAGUAUCUCCAUCUAAAAUGUGUGUGUGGUUUGCUUAUCUAUUGUGCUUUUGAAUAAAAUAGACAAUACUUGUCUAUGGUUAUUAUUGGCUGUAUGUCUGUAUUUGGAUGCUCUCGAUCGGUUUGCAAGUAAUAAGAGUGUUUUCACUGUCACUUUGUAUUUCGAUCAUCUUAAUUAUGUUUACUAGUAAUAAUGUGGAAGCUGUACGUUUGUUAAUUCUAGGUUAAAUAAUAGAGCAAUUGUUUUUGAACUAUUUGAGAAUUGUUAAGGUCUCUUCACUAGAUCACUAUGAAAUCCUUUCUCACCACUACCAUGAUUUAUGACCAAGUCCUUCAACUAUGUCACAUGCUUACCUUUCUUGUGAGUCGUAGUCUAGCUACAUGACACAAUUCUUAGGGACCAUAUUCUUGAUAUCACUUCUCUGACUCAUAAACAAAGAUAAUAUAUAUAUAUAUAUAUAUAUAUAUAUGAUCAGUUUUUUUAUUGAUCUACAAUAUCCAUCUCAAUAUUUUAAAUAUAUCAUUGCUUCACAUAUUCCACUGAUUUCCAAAGAAGUCAAUGUAGAAUGACAAUGUGAAAAUCAUUUUUUAUACUAGUGAAUCAGUAUUUCAUGUUUCUUUAGAAAGAUAAUUUUUUUAUAAAUAGUUAUUAAAUGAUUUAUUUUUAUUUAAUAAUUUUAUAAUAAAUAUUUUUUUAUUUUCUUAAUUGGUAGCAUAUUCAUAUAAUUAAAAAUAGAAAAGAUAAUCCGGAACGUCCAAACUCAAUUAAAAAGAAACAUAAAUUAUUAUUUAAAACAUAAACCAUAUUUUUAAAAAAAACCUAACCCAAUGCCACUGUGUAUAUAAGAACAGAAGAAAUCAAAAGAAUCAAUUUGAAUAUAAUUAAGUAUGCAUAGAACGUGUUGCAUAUGGGGGAGGAGGUGCCCAUAGAAAAAUGAAUUAACCGGUGGAGCUCAUAUUAAAAAAAUGAUGUUUAUACUUUCUCCCUUCUCAAGUCCUCUAUAAAUACCAAAAUAUUCUUGGCUUCCUCACACCACAAGCUUCUCCUUCUUUUGGGAAAAGAUUAACAAUAAAAGUGUGGAGUACUGUUGAUAGCAAAGAUGUUUGGGAUCUUCGACAAGGGGCAAAAGAUAAAGGGGACAGUGGUGUUGAUGCCAAAGAAUGUGUUGGACUUCAACGCCAUAACCUCCAUCGGUAAAGGUGGUGUUAUUGACACAGCCACCGGCAUCUUAGGCCAAGGCGUCAGCUUAGUUGGUGGAGUAAUUGAUACUGCCACUUCCUUCUUAGGCCGUAAUAUCUCCAUGCAAUUGAUCAGUGCUACUCAGACUGAUGGUUUGUUCACUCUCAUCCUUCAAACUCUUUUCUGUAAUAACAUUACAUUAUAUUAAUAAUUGUUUUCAAUAAUUCAAAUUUAAUAGUUAUGCACUUACUGACCCCACUGUGUAAAUUAUUUCAUUUACAAAUUAUAUUUGGUAUGACUUUUGACAUAAUAAUAAUUACAAAAUUAUCAUUUUUGUAUUUUGAUCACAGUAUAAAACAAGUCUCGUAUAAUUAUACUAAAGAUUGUAGUACCAAAAUUAGACUCUUAAUAAUUAAUACUACCGCUGACACAUCCCAUGCAUCCAGCUCUAGUUAUUCUUGAAAUAUGCAAGGGCCAAGGCCAAGGAGUCACUUACCUAACUUUACCUUGUAUCUCUUAGGCUUUGAAUAUAUUUUUCUUAGAUAAGAUAACAAAAAAUAUUAUUUUGAUGAAGUUAACUUUACAAAGGAAGAAAAAAUAAAUAAAAAAUUCAUUAUAAGAAUUAAAUUCACAAUUUACGUUCCAACAUUAAAUCCACUACACAACCAGGCUGAUGCAAGUAUCACUUUUUACAGAUUAUUGGUCGAUCACAAUCUCACAAACUCAUCACUUAUAACUAUUUUUUUUAUGAAUUGUUGUUUUGUAUGGUUUUUGCAGGCAGUGGAAAUGGGAAAGUUGGAAAAGAAGUCUAUUUGGAAAAACAUCUUCCGACCUUGCCAACGUUGGGAGCAAGGCAGGAUGCGUUCAGUAUUUUCUUUGAAUGGGAUGCUAGUUUUGGAAUUCCAGGAGCAUUUUACAUCAAAAACUUUAUGACUGAUGAGUUUUUCCUCGUCAGUGUUAAACUCGAGGACAUUCCAAACCAUGGAACCAUUGAAUUUGUUUGCAACUCAUGGGUUUACAACUUCAGGAGUUACAAAAAGAAUCGCAUUUUCUUUGUCAAUGAUGUAAGCUUCUUUGUUUUUUUCAAUUAUGGUCCCAAUCAAUUUUGUUUUCAUUCUUUAAAUGAAAUAUAUUGUAGACAUAUCUUCCAAGUGCCACACCAGCUCCACUACUUAAGUACAGAAAAGAAGAAUUGGAGGUUUUAAGAGGAGAUGGAACAGGGAAGAGAAAGGACUUUGACAGAAUCUAUGAUUAUGAUGUCUAUAAUGAUUUGGGCAAUCCAGAUGGUGGUGAUCCUCGCCCAAUCCUUGGUGGGUCUAGCAUCUAUCCCUACCCUCGCAGGGUUAGAACAGGAAGAGAAAGGACCAGGACAGGUUAGACUUUUAUUUUUUGUCUUAUGUAUUCAAUUAUCAUGUUAGUAUUAUAAAAAGGUAACCAAUAAAUAAUAUUACAUUCGAUUUCUUUAAAUAAAAUUUUGAUUUUAACCUUGUAAAUGAGAAAAAAGUAAUUUAAAAUGAAAGAUCUGUCAGUGAAUUUUCCAAUAAACUGUAAUCAACAAUAUCAAUAUGCGAUGUGAUUGUAGAAUGGUAUGAUAUAAUUGUGUUGAGAAUAUAUAUCUAAUAAUACCAUUUCCAAUGAUACAAAAAAUAUUUAUUUGAUUAUUGUUUGAGCGGUAACAGAUCCCAACAGUGAGAAACCGGGCGAGGUUUAUGUUCCAAGAGAUGAAAAUUUUGGUCACUUGAAGUCAUCGGAUUUCCUUACAUACGGAAUCAAAUCCUUAUCUCACGAUGUGAUACCUUUGUUCAAAUCUGCAAUUUUUCAAUUAAGGGUCACAUCGAGUGAGUUUGAAAGCUUCGAAGAUGUGCGUAGUCUCUAUGAGGGUGGAAUUAAAUUGCCAACAGAUAUACUGAGCCAAAUUAGCCCCUUACCAGCCCUCAAGGAAAUCUUCCGCACUGAUGGUGAAAAUGUUCUUCAAUUUCCACCACCUCAUGUAGCCAAAGGUACCUUAGUUACCUAUAUUAAUCAAAACAACUUAAAUAUAUUAGCAUUUGUUGAAUUAAAUAAUCGAUCCGAUUUGACAAUUAAUUAUGAUUUGAGCAGUUAGUAAGUCUGGGUGGAUGACUGAUGAGGAAUUUGCUAGAGAGGUGAUUGCCGGUGUAAACCCAAAUGUGAUCCGUCGUCUUCAAGUAAGUCCGAAUGCUUUUUUUAUUAUUAAGUCUUUAAAAUGGUGAAUUUUUAUGUCAAUGUUAAAUUGUUUUAUGGCCAAACUAACAAAGACUCACUAUCUUUCCUCAUAUCAUUCUUCAAUAAUGUCAGGAAUUCCCACCAAAGAGCACACUUGAUCCCACACUCUAUGGUGAUCAAACCAGUACCAUAACAAAAGAACAAUUGGAGAUUAACAUGGGAGGGGUCACAGUAGAAGAGGUAAUGAUAUAUAUAUAUAUAUAUUAACAGUAAAAUAUCAUUGAAUUUCUAUCUUUUUGCUAUGUUAUCUUACAAUUUCUUUUUAAUAAUUUUCUAAUACAAAAUAAAAAAUGAGUUACACUUGAUUAAUAUAUAAAAAAAAAAGUCAAUCUUUUGAAAUUCGAAGCUAUGAAACAGUGUCUGAAAUUAAAUUUUGCGGAACAGGCACUUAGUACUCAGAGAUUAUUCAUAUUAGAUUACCAAGAUGCAUUCAUCCCAUAUUUGACGAGGAUAAACAGCCUACCUACUGCAAAAGCUUAUGCCACAAGGACAAUCCUGUUCUUGAAAGAUGAUGGUACUUUGAAGCCACUUGCUAUUGAAUUAAGCAAACCACAUCCAGAUGGAGAUAAUUUGGGUCCUGAGAGUAUAGUGGUGUUGC